rnacentral:rRNA from 1 species
GACGAACGCUGGCGGCGUGCCUAAUACAUGCAAGUCGAACGCUUUUUCUUUCACCGGAGCUUGCUCCACCGAAAGAAAAAGAGUGGCGAACGGGUGAGUAACACGUGGGUAACCUGCCCAUCAGAAGGGGAUAACACUUGGAAACAGGUGCUAAUACCGUAUAACAAGUAAAACCGCAUGGUUUUACUUUGAAAGGCGCUUNUGCGUCACUGAUGGAUGGACCCGCGGUGCAUUAGCUAGUUGGUGAGGUAACGGCUCACCAAGGCAACGAUGCAUAGCCGACCUGAGAGGGUGAUCGGCCACAUUGGGACUGAGACACGGCCCAAACUCCUACGGGAGGCAGCAGUAGGGAAUCUUCGGCAAUGGACGAAAGUCUGACCGAGCAACGCCGCGUGAGUGAAGAAGGUUUUAGGAUCGUAAAACUCUGUUGUUAGAGAAGAACAAGGAUGAGAGUAAAAUGUUCAUCCCUUGACGGUAUCUAACCAGAAAGCCACGGCUAACUACGUGCCAGCAGCCGCGGUAAUACGUAGGUGGCAAGCGUUGUCCGGAUUUAUUGGGCGUAAAGCGAGCGCAGGCGGUUUCUUAAGUCUGAUGUGAAAGCCCCCGGCUCAACCGGGGAGGGUCAUUGGAAACUGGGAAACUUGAGUGCAGAAGAGGAGAGUGGAAUUCCAUGUGUAGCGGUGAAAUGCGUAGAUAUAUGGAGGAACACCAGUGGCGAAGGCGGCUCUCUGGUCUGUAACUGACGCUGAGGCUCGAAAGCGUGGGGAGCAAACAGG